rnacentral:lncRNA from 10 species
AUCAGCGGCAGAAGGGCAGCAAUGGCCACACACCGAAGCACCUUGGCGGGCUAUUCCCCUUGCAGCUCUCCUCAGCGCGCUGCUCCCACUCGCAAUCAAAAGGCGGAAAAAGCGCGAAACCGCCAGGCAUCUCCCAUACCCACCCGGCUGCCGCGCAACCCCUCCUUGGCUUCCACUGGGAGACAGGGGACGCCGAUGAGCAGGAAGAAGCAGGGCAGUGACUGCUUAGUUUAUCCUGGUCACCCGCCAGGUUUGUGGCCUGUGAUCUCUUGUCACCUUGGUCUCUCAGCUUUGUCUUCUGAAAUCUGGACUUCCAAUUGUCUUUGUCUUGCUGCCCUUCCUUGCGACACUGGCCUGGAAUCCCUCACGGUAGUCUGCUGGAGUGGAAUUUAGGACGCAUCUCAGUUGUCACCAUCUUUAAUUGCAUGAUGUCUAGUUCCUUGCAAACCAUUAUUUCAUGUAUUUCGCUCUUUUUUGUUUGUUUUGUUUUGUUUUGUUUUCAGGCUAGGGGAAAAUCCAGUCCCUGUUACUCCAUUUUGGCCAGAAAUUCAAGGUAAUGACUUUUAAUGUUCCUGACUACUAGUUCUAUCAUCUCUCUCACUUCUGGAUCUGUCUCUAUUCACUGAUGUUUCUAGUCAUUGUGGGUCAUAUUUUUUCCACGUUUUAAAUACUUCCUGAUUUUUGACUAGAUAUCAAGCUUUGUUAAUUUCACAACUUUGGGUGCCAAAAAUUUUUACAUUCCUAUCAAUAUUCUUGAGCUUUGUUCCAGUACGUUGUUAUUUUACAUGGAAACCAUUUCAUACUUUCAAAGCUUGCAUUUAUUUGUUAGGUGGGACCAGAACAAGGGCUAAUGUUGUCCCACUAUGGAAGCAAUACUUUCUGAGUAGUCUCCCUGAUACUUCAUGAAUUAUGAAGUUUUCUAGUCGGAUUUUGGGGAACUGAAACCAUUUUCUGUCCUGUAUGAGCCUCAGAAAUUGUUACAUCUGCUCCUUUCCGAUAGUUCUUUUCCUGUUCCUUUUCAACAGUUUCAUUAUACUCAUGCAUUGACCAAGCUGAAAUCUCAAGGGUUGCCCACUGCACAUCUCUGAUCCUCUGUGCUCCUGUGGCGCUCUUCAUCCUAGUACUCUGCCAUACAGGCUCCAGUCAUCUUGGCCUCCCACAACUCCCAGCUUGUCUUCUCAACUCAGGGAAACUGCCAGGUUCUGCCUGUUUCCCCUCCCUGAGAUAUGCCUUGGAAAUGCCAUACAGUAAGCUAGAUAGCCAUAGGGGUUACCGCAUAUGAUUUUCUUCUCAGAUAUCAGAGAUGAGAUCCCACACAGCCUGAUGUCCAGUGUUUGAAAGUGGUUAUUUCAUAGAUCUUGUUUUUUUGUUUUUUUAGACAUUUAAGGUGGCAGAAUAAAUUCAAUCCUUGGUUCUCCAUUUUUUCCACUAGUAGAAGUUAGUUAUAUUGUCUUUGAACUCAUCAUGAAUUCCAUGAAGACUGAAGGGAACAAGUCAUUUAGUGCUACAGAGGAUGACCAGAGGGCUAGACCUGAAGUUUCAAAGGCAUAUCUACUUUUUUACAACUCCUCACUGGAGAGAUAGUCUAACCGUGGU